GUGUUCAAAUUGUGGGAAUCAAGAGCUGAAACGUCUAAGAACAAGAUACCUAAGAGAUUGAAAAUCGGAGGUGUCAUGUAACUUGCAGACCGAGAGUGAUUUCUCAAAUUAAGGUCCCACACUCAAAGUUGUUCCUUGAAACCAAUUUCUUAAGCUUGAGGAAAGAAUAAGGAAGAAGUUCCAUGAAGAAAUCGAGCCUUGAAAACCCUUAGAAUCGGCUACCCAAUAAGAAAUCCUUUGUUUUUACUCCAGCGAGAAAUUAUAUUUUGGACGAACUUUGGAAACGAAUAUCUAAGGCUACGAUCCACGAAAAGAAACUAGACACAAUAAGAAGUCUGUGGAAGAAAAUUGAAGGUAAUUCAGGUAUCGGAAGAUCAUGAACAGAGGUCCCGAACGUCGACAACGCGGUUUACGGAUUUCAAAGGACAUAAUCGAACUUUCAUUAAGGAUAUAUUCGUGACAACAACUUAAGUUAACCAGGUAAGCGGCCUUACUAUCGGCAUGGUUAUAUUUGAUGUUCACACGUGCCUGUGGUUCUGCACGUGUCAUAUAUACUAA